CAGCAUCUUCCGUCUCUUUGAUUUGGAAAGGAUGACAGCGGCUGCGGCUGCGAUCUCCGUCACGAAACCAGAGGUUGCAACCACCUCCACGGAAGACAUUCUUUUUUGUUUCUGGAUUCUUCUUUGUCUUUCGGUUCCUGUGCCUCCCGCCGUUCCUUUCCCCUCGCAAUUCCGACCCGUUCAUCAUGCACACAAGUCUCUCUCUCUCUCUCUCUCUCUAGAUUUGCCUCUCUCAAAACCCUA
rnacentral:lncRNA from 1 species